rnacentral:lncRNA from 1 species
CCAGGGUCCUGCCCACAAGAAAGAUUGUGACAUCUCACUGGACAAGCACCCACCCAGACUCUGCCAAGAGAGGGGAUUAUUACAUAUUGCAGAGCCCAGCACCUAGGUGGAGUGACUCUCAUCUUUUUCUUCUACCCCGUAUAUAGCCAGCUUGGUGACCUACUAUUUGAGUCUAUACCCAGGCCCAGACCACAGAUGAAAUUGUGCAAUAUGUGGAACAAACACCUAAACAAUAUAUAACACCUUCCUUGGCUCUGUCUACAAAGGGCACUUUUAUAUAUCACUGGGACCAUCAACCAGGUGAUGUUGUGCCAUAUAACUGAGACCGUAUCAAAAGCCUAAUAACAAGACGUAUGUCUGGAGCCCCGAUAUGCACAGGAUGGUGAUAUAACCCUCUUCUCUGGAAUGGGCCCCACACAAAGGAAGGAUAGUGACAUAUUGCAAGCCCAGGCACACAGGUGCUUAAUUGCUUUCUACUACUUGGGAGGUCCACAAUGCCAAUUGCCCUUUAGUAUUGACUCAAGCCUUUGUCAAGUAAACAUUCCUGAAUAAAUGUGAGUCUCACUGGC